AACACCAAUAUGUUAUUUCCAUGGCGGAAGAAAAGUUCAAUCACUAUUUGUGAACAUGAGCCACUCUCUUUCAAAGCCAGAAACCAGAGAAGGAAGUCUUAAACUUGUGAUGUCAUCAGGUAUAAAGUCUGGAUGGCUGCUCCAUAGACAAUGAAUGGGAGACUGGUUUUUUUUAAUUGUUUAUAUAGCCAAAU